GGAUACCCGAGGGAAACUUCGGUUAAUACGGUAUAAGACCACACUACCGCAUGGUAGAGGGGUAAAAGGGGCAACCUGGUAUGAGAUGGACUCGCGUCGCAUUAGCUAGUUGGUGAGGUAACGGCCCACCAAGGCGACGAUGCGUAGCCGACCUGAGAGGGUGAUCGGCCACAUUGGGACUGAGAUACGGCCCAGACUCCUACGGGAGGCAGCAGUGGGGAAUAUUGGGCAAUGGAGGAAACUCUGACCCAGCAAUGCCGCGUGAAUGAAGAAGGUCUUCGGAUUGUAAAGUUCUUUAGUCAGGGAAGAAGUCAAUGACGGUACCUGAAGAAUAAGCUCCGGCUAACUACGUGCCAGCAGCCGCGGUAAUACGUAGGGAGCAAGCGUUGCUCGGAAUGACUGGGCGUAAAGGGUGCGUAGGCGGUUGUACAAGUUAGAAGUGAAAUACCCAGGGCUUAACUCGGGUGCUGCUUCUAAAACUGUAUGACUUGAGUGCAGUAGAGGUUAGUGGAAUUCCUAGUGUAGCGGUGGAAUGCGUAGAUAUUAGGAGGAACACCAGAGGCGAAGGCGGCUAACUGGACUGCAACUGACGCUGAGGCACGAAAGUGUGGGGAGCAAACAGGAUUAGAUACCCUGGUAGUCCACACUGUAAACGAUGGAUACUAGAUGUAGGAGGUAUCGACUCCUACUGCGUCGCAG
rnacentral:rRNA from 1 species